rnacentral:lncRNA from 12 species
AUUGGCAAGAGGGUGUGUGAAGGAAGGAAGGGUGACAAGGAGGAAAGAAGUGUGGAUCUGGAGCUUUAGGAAGGAGGAGCUUGAUGUAGAGAAGGGCAGGAGACUGGAAGGAGGGUGGUUCAGCAGCAGUGAAAGCCCAGUGAAUUCCCAGUUGGGAAUGAUUUCCUUAAAAAAACAAAACAAAACAAAAACUUGUGUAGCCUGGAGAGCCCACCGUGAGAACUGCAAAUGCUGGGAACUGCAAAAAGGCAACCCUGUGUUACAUAUCAUUUAACAAAUGUGUUGGGAAUAUAAAAAAGUAGAAGACCAUCUCAUGGCCCAGCCAAGAAGACAGCACCCACGCAUAGAAGUUUUUCCUUCUCAUUCUCUAAGGGGAAGAGAAGUGAUGUGAAAAGGGAGUGAGAAUGGAUCACAUGAGAGGAUGUUUGUGAAAACACCCUGUAAGGCAUACAAAAAAGUUAUUAAUAGAGGACAAAGCCUUGCAACAGGAGAACUUUGGAUCUUUGUGAGCUGUUUCCACCUCUGGAGUUUCUUCUCCUCGCCGGGCGGAGUCCCGCUUUCUGCCGCAAGAGGGCGGUAUGGCCACGCUGAGCUGAGGUGUCCACUGCGGGAUUGAGUGGAUUGGGUUCUGAGAUGCUGAGGAGUGGCCUAGAGUUUAAUCUUGUUCUGAGAGCCAGACCCCAGCCUGUCCAAAUGCUCCUCUGUCUCUGCUACCCCAAGUGAUCCAUGGGGAAACCGUGGAGCGGGAGGGCAGGCAGGGAUUUUGCACGGCGCCAUUCAUCUCUGGUGUAUUCACAUCUGGGGCAUUAGGGUUGGGAAGUUUGGGAGUGCUUUGUUCUGUGGGCUAGUGGAGAAUAAAAUGUGCAUUGUCUUCA